GCUAUAAAGAACUACCUGAGACUGGGUAAUUUAUAAAGAAAAGAGGUUUAAUUGACUCACAGUUCUCCAGGCUGAACAGAAAGCAUGACUGAGGAAGCCUCAGUAAACUUACAAUUAUGGCAGAAGGUGAAGAGAAAGCAGACACCUCUUAACAUGCUGGAGAAGGAGGAAGAGAGAGAGAAGGGGGAAGUCCUACACUCUUUUAUAAACAACCAGAUCUCAUGAGAAUUCACUCACUAUUACAAGAACAGAAAGGUUCUUGGUUCAUGGUUCAAUCAGCUCCUACCAGGCUCCUCCUCCAACAUUGGGGAUUACAAUUCAACAUGAAAUUUCAGCAGAGACACUGACUCAAAUCAUAUCAGGGAUAGGAAAUACGACCUGUCUCACUUUGAUCCAUAUUGAAGGCUUCGGAUUUCCUUCAUUCUCCAAGUGAUGCAAAACCAAGAUUCUCACCUAAGUGCUGAAACGACCUCAUAGCACAAAGGGGAGACAGAAAUUUUAAAAGGUAAUUAUGAAACAUAAAACAGAUGCUAAAAUGAAUAGAUGGGCAUAGACCUGUGGGACUGCAAAGCAAAACAAAUUAUUAAGGGUUUGAUGGUCAGUGUUAUCUAAACAUUGUGUAAACUUUUAAAUGUUUAUGAAUCCCAUCUCAGAGGUGUAACUAAUAUUUGUUUGUGUGUGUGUGUGUGUGUGUGAUACACUGAGCAACUGUAUACCACCUAGCAAGUGGCAUUCUUGCUUAGCGACUUACACUGGCCUGUUUACUCACCCUGCUG
rnacentral:lncRNA from 1 species